GACGUACUCCCUUCGUUUCGAAUUACUCGUCGCAGAAAUGGAUGUAUCUAAAUGUAUUUUAGUUUUAGAUACAUCCAUUUUUAAGACGAGUAAUUUAGAACGGAGGAAGUACGUA
rfam:Triticum urartu cultivar G1812 contig575716, whole genome shotgun sequence.